rnacentral:lncRNA from 1 species
AUUUGGAUCCACCAGUUUAAUGCUAUGGUUAGACUUUGUCUUAAUUCUUCUUUCCUAGUUGCGGAUGCUUGCGAGAGGGGUUAAUCAUAAGUGGCAUGCUUGUCCAAGUAAGGGCAAUACCCAAGCGUCGGUCCACCCACAUAUUAAACUAUCAAAGUAACGAACGCGAAUCAUAUGAACAUGAUGAAAACUAGCAUGACAGAAAUUCUCGUGUAUCCUCGGGAGCGUUUUUCCUCCUAUAAGACUUUGUCCAGGCUUGUCCCUUGCUACAAAAGGGAUUGGGCUACUUUGCUGCAC